AGAGUUUGAUCCUGGCUCAGAUUGAACGCUGGCGGCAUGCCUUACACAUGCAAGUCGAACGGUAGAGGGGCAACCCUUGAGAGUGGCGAACGGGUGAGUAAUAUAUCGGAACGUGCCCAGUCGUGGGGGAUAACGCAGCGAAAGCUGCGCUAAUACCGCAUACGAUCUAUGGAUGAAAGCGGGGGAUCGCAAGACCUCGCGCGAUUGGAGCGGCCGAUAUCAGAUUAGGUAGUUGGUGGGGUAAAAGCCCACCAAGCCGACGAUCUGUAGCUGGUCUGAGAGGACGACCAGCCACACUGGGACUGAGACACGGCCCAGACUCCUACGGGAGGCAGCAGUGGGGAAUUUUGGACAAUGGGCGCAAGCCUGAUCCAGCAAUGCCGCGUGCAGGACGAAGGCCUUCGGGUUGUAAACUGCUUUUGUACGGAGCGAAACGGUCUGGGUUAAUACCCUGGGCUAAUGACGGUACCGUAAGAAUAAGCACCGGCUANGNUGCGUGCCAGCAGCCGCGGUAAUAC
rnacentral:rRNA from 1 species